GACUUUGAAAUCACAUGACAGUAUAGUAAUUGACCUGUCAUAUGACAAGGAGUUAUUCAGCCGAGUGACUUGGUAUAUAUACCUGUGACAAUAUUUGUCAAGUUACAGGUAUCUGUUAAUUUUUUUAAUUGGUCAAUCUGAAUUUAAUGUCUCGUAUUAAUUUACAUUAUUAAUGUACGUAUUCAAAACACAUACACAAUAAUUUUACCCUAACAACGGUUUCUAUUUACAAUUGUACUUCCUUGUCUUAAAAAGAACGAGCAUUAUUUGUACAUAUCAAAUUUUCUUCAAAUAAAAAAAAAUAUUAGUAAAUAGUAAAUUGUAAGGCAGUUUUUUUCCCGCUAUUUUGUGUCUGCAAUCUCUUAAUUAAAAAUAUUGCCCCAGUUUGAUCUUUUAUUCUUAAUCGAAAGUUCUGUCACAGCCAUCAAUUAGGAGGAUGCCCAUUAUUAUAUAUACAUUAUUGUGUGAUAACAAAUGUGCUAAUAAGAAAAUGGCCGACUCAUUAUUUAUCAGUUAAAGGGAUCAGUUCAAAUUUCACAUCAAAAAGUUUUGUUGCCAACCCCCCCCCCCCUUAAUAAUUUUUGUGAACCACAUUAUACCCCCCUUAGAACGAUGAUUCAUUCGUAUGACCCCCCCCCUAACACAAAAUCCUCAUUGAUUAACAGUGGGAAGAAGAUUACGACUGCAGGCUACAUAGUGACAGGCAAAUAACUAUGAGAAGUAUGCUAUAGUUGUUAAUUUCUGUGUCAUUUGGUCUCUUGUGAAGAGUUGUCUCAUUGGCAAUCAUACCACAUCUUCUUUUUUAUAUUGACACUAUCUGUUACAGCGUAAGGCAGAAAGAAAUUUUCCUUGAUUGCAGUCAUUUUCUUUGAUUUUGUACUGUUUUUUAUAACACAUUCUACAUUAUAGUUCUAUUAUUUCAUAUAUGUAGCUCUGACUAAUUAAUUUGAGAAAGAUAGUUUAGUUUGUCUGAUUCGCAGUCAUUAAUAAGUGAUAUUCUCUAAAUAUUUUCAGAUAUUUUUAUUGGAUAAUUAGAGCACAUGAACUAUAAGGUAAAUUUAAUAUUGUCUUGGUGUUCAUCAUGACCUUCCAUAUUCUUUGUUUUGAAGCUGAUGGAACUGAUUUUGGUUAAUACGUUUUAGUUUUAUUCUGCUUUGAGAAAACCAUGAAUAAAUAAAAUGUAACAUCGAUUUUUAUACGACCGCAAAAAAUAGAAUUUUAACACAAUGUUUAUGACCACAAAAAGAAGCUUGGGAUUAAUUUUGGGGGUUAUGGUCCCUCGGGUUUAAAUUAGGGGCCCAAAGGGGCCCAAAACAAGCAUUUUUCUAGUUUAGGACAUAAGUUGUGUAUAUGUAUUUCAAUUGCUCUGAAAUUGUACCACAAUGUUUAAUGAUAUUAGUAGAAGGAUUGGAUUUAUUUUAAGGAUUAUGGGAGCAAGAGUACAGGAAAAAAGGGUAAAAAAGGGACCAAAACAAGCAUUUUUUGUAGUUUCAAGACAAUAAUUUGUGUAAAAGUUUAUGAAUCUUUCAGAAAUUAUACCACAAGAUUCAAUACUACUAAGGGAUGAUUAGGAUUGACUUGGGGGGGGGGGGGGUUAUGGCCCAAAUCUUUUAUGAAUUAGGGGCAAAAAAGGCGUAAAACAAGGUUUCUUUCUGUUAAUAAGGACAGUUAAAAAUUUGAAAGCAGUGUGAGGGAGGUAAUCAGAAAGUAAUAUUUGAACCAAUCCCCCUUCUUUUAAAUAUGUGUAUUUGAAAUUUGCCAAGAUAUAUAACUUCAGAAUGAAUAAACUCCAUUGGAAUUUUGCCAAUUACUUAAGUUUAAGUAAAUAUAAAUCUUUGAAAUUAAAAUACAAAGUUUGAAACCACAAAAAGGAAGGUUUGGAUUGAUUUGGGAGUUAUGGUCCCUUUGGUUUAGGAAUAAGGCUUUAAAAGGGGUCCAAAUAAGCAUUUUUCUAGUGUAUAGACAAUGACGUAUGGAACAGUGUAUAGAAUUGCCUGAAAUUGAAUCACAAAUUUCCACACCACAAAAGGAUGGUUAGGAUUGGAGUCGUGGAGUUAUGACUCAAUCUGUUUAUGAAUUAGGGACAAAAAAGGGGGGAAACAAGGGUUUCCUGGUUAAUAUUGGUGCUCUUUGCUAUUAUUUUGCUUGUUCUAGUAUAAAAUUUUAAACUGUUUAUAGAACAUUAUUGUUGUCUUGAGAUCACUAAUUAGCUGUAAAUUCCAUUAAAUAUUUGUUUUCGGGCGGUUAAAAGUCAACAGCAUAGUGUAUUGCUCAAAAGCCAAAAAAACAAAUGUUAAGUUUAUUAGACCACAUUCAUUCUGUGUCAGAAACCUAUGCUGUGUCAACUAUUUAAUCACAAUCCAAAUUCAGAGCUAUAUUAAGCUUGAAUGUAGUAUAUAUACUUGCCCCAACUGUUCAGGGGUCGACAUCUGCGGUCGUAUAAAGCUGCGCACUGCGGAGCAUCUGGUUUCUUCUUUUUUUCCCUUUUCUUUUUUCUCUCAAACAUGAAAAUCUGAGACAUGCAAACAGAAAAAUGAAAAAAAUAAGCAUUUAAAUGAAAAAAAACAUAGAUUGCAAUUUAACUUGAACCUUCAUGUACAGAAUGAAGUCAUACCUUUACUAAUUGUCUUUGAUCUUGAAGCUGCUAAUCCUUAAAAAAUAAAGCUUUUAAAGGCACAAUAAGCCUUAUGACGUAAAAAGUAUAAAAAAGUAAACUUUAUGUUGCAUUUCAUUUGACUGCAACCCAUAAUUCUUAAAAUUUUAAUUUUUACCUAAAACAUUUCAAUGCCGAUUUUUACUAUGGCCAUUGUUAUAUUAUAGUUCGUUUCUGUGUGUAUUACAUUAUUACUUAGUCGUUUUGUUUUCUCUUAUUUUGAGUGUAAAUUUCUAUUGCGAUAAGACGUGUCACGGUACUUGUCUAUCCAAAUUCAUGUAUUUGGUUUUGAUGUUAUAUAUAUAUGUUAUAUUUGUUAUUCUCGUGGAAUUUUGUCUAUGUGUGUUACAUUUUAGUGUUAUGUCGUUGUUCUACUCUUAUAUUUAAUGCGUUUCCCUCGGUUUUAGUUUGUUACCCCGAUUUUGUUUUUUGUCCAUGGAUUUAUGAGUUUUGAACAGUGGUAUACUACUGUUGCCUUUAUUUACUAUAUGUUAUAAAUGAAUUUCAAUUCUAAUUCGUAAACUCAAACGAACAUAAAAUAUUUAUCAAAUAACCACAAACUCCUACAUGGGAGACGCCACUUGCAGAGACAAGCGCACAUUUUAUUAUAAAUAUGAGAAUAAUAUUGUUGAAAGUUCGUAUAAAUAUAUAGCUAUUAAGCAGCUUGUACUAGUUUCCCCAUACUUGUGGUCCACAAAUCUGAAAAUAAAUAAUAUGAUUAAUAUUAUUAUUUAUUUUGCAAAAUGCUAUUGUACACUUUGACUGCAAUGGCUCGAAUGACUUUAAACCACCUGAGUUCACUCGUCCAUGAACUCAAUAUCCAAAUCGAACCGACCUUACUAUAAUAAACCAAACACGUGUUUACUAUAAACAAACAACAUUUUACAUGUUCGAUUUUGUACAACUUUGAUAAAUACAUGUAAAUUUAAUUGCAUUUAAUUAUGAAAAAAAACCCAUAAUAAAGUGGAGAAAUGUCUCAAUUCAUUAGUACCUUUAGUAUAAUUUUAAAGCUUUAUAAAUGUUUCGGGGAUUUUCAUUUUCUUAUAUUUCAGUUCUAGGAACCGAAACUGAAAAUAAUACAUAUAAAAAGAAAAAUCACAAAAAUACCGAACUUAGAGAAAAUCAAUUCGGAAAGUCCAUAAUCACUUGGCAAAAUCAAAUAACAAAAUGCAUCAAAAACGAAUGGACAAGAACUGUCAUAUUCCUGACUUGGUACAGGCAUUUUCAAACGUAGAAAAUGGUGGAUUAAACCUGGUUUUAUAGCGCUAACCCUCUCACUUUGAUGACAGUCUCAUCAAAUUCCGUUAUAUUUACAAUGAUGUGUUAACUAAACAGAAACAAUUAAAAAAAAAUAGUCAAAAUAUGGGUACAGCAGUUAUCAUCGUGUAACAAUUUUUAAAGGAACAAUUUAACAGAACACAAAAACAUCAAAUUACAAACACAUUCAUUCAUUUGUAUCAGUGAUUUUAUGGUUCUGGUACUUCCUGCAUCAAAUAUGUAGUUUUGUUUGACCCUUUAUUAUAUAAAUAUUUAUAUAGGUUUAUAGUUAUAAGUCAUGAACAUUUAAUUUCUUUUUGUGGAAAUGUUUUACGAAUCUCCGAGUGUAUUUUUGCGUGUGUGAAUAAAAUACUGCCCAACAAAAAUUAAAGGCCCUUAAUUGAAACAUUAUCAUCGAUAUCUUUGUUAUAUUUUAAUAAAUUUAUUGUACUCAUUAAUAAAUGAUUUUAGAAUGUACACACCUGCUACAGUCCUACAUCUUUCCCAAGAAUUAUCAUCAAAAUAAUUUUAACAUUUUAGAAAGUUGAAAUACACAUGUUCCACUGCAUUUUCAGAAACUUUUCAUUAUUUAUACAGUUGUUAAUCUUAAGAAUUUAAGCUAAGUCGGGUUUUAAAUUUUGACAUCCUAUAGAUAAUAAAACAUAACAUAUGAGUGAUCAGAUACACUACCCUUGAGUGAUUGGGCAUUCUGCUGGUGCUGUACACUAUCGAAGAUUUAAAAAUGACAGAAAUUACUUUAGAGAUUGCACGCUUACUUCAGUAUUGUCAGCAAUUUAUGUACUUGACAGACAUAAAAAAUUUCAUUAUAUGACCCCCAUCCAAAAUUUUAUUAUGGCAAAAAAAUGACCCCCCCCCCUUGCAAUAAAAAUGCACCGACCCCUCAGCUGAUAAAUAAUGACUAUUCCCUAUUAAUGUUAUUCUAACAAUGGUUUCUAUUCAACUUUUAUUGUUUCUAUAGUUUGGUUCUGAUUAAAUCCUUGAAUUAAUUUUCGUCCUAAAGGAAUUUAAAACAUGAAUCAAUAAUAACAAAUACGUUGUUUUAGGUUGUAAAGUAUGUCAUCCAACAUUUUUUGUGGACCCUGUAGCCAUGUCAACACACAUAAAAAUGCACAGAAAUGGUGUACAAAUUGCGAAGAAGGUUUUUGUGCUGACUGCGAACAGGUGCAUCGAUCCAUGAAGGUCACUAGAGAUCACACACUCAUAUCAACCGACGAUUAUCGUAAAAUUGAAAAUGUUCCCGUCAAUUUGAAAUGUGAUACCCAUGGCAAGAGGUUUGAUCUAUACUGCAAAACACACGACGAAGCGAUUUGCGUGGCCUGCUUUCCCUCAUUACACAAACAUUGUUCUGAUGUCAUUUCCCUCGACGAAGCAGCAGAAAAUGCAAAGAGAUCGACAGCCCUUGAAGACUUAGAAGAUUCAAUCAAAGUUGCUUUAGAAAACUUGAAAGGUUUCAUCAACAACCGCAACCAGGCUAUAAAAAAUCUUAAAAUAGAAGAACAAAGCGUCAGAAAAUCAAUCAGUGAAAUGAGAGCAAAUGUUAACAAACAUUUGGAUGAACUUGAAAAUAGACUGUUAGAAGAUUUGUCUCAACGGUAUGAAAACUGUAAAUCAAAAUAUGGAGAAGCCCAGAAGUAUUUGAAUAAAACAGAAAAAGAAGUCAACUUACUACAAGAACAAACAUCCCAAAUGAAACUUGUCGGAUCCGACUUACAGGUAUUUCUUGGCACUCGUCAGAUGAACAAUUUAAUCCAUAACAAGGUAAAACACGUCAGAUCAAUUACGAGCACAUUACAGGAUUACAAGAUAGGGGUUGAGAUUCAUCAAGGAAUAACUUCGUUACUAGAAAAUGUCGAUAAUUUUGGCAAGGUAAAAAUUGAUGAAACCACUCCCAAUUUACCAUUCAAAGAUGCAAAGGUCGACCAAGCUCAAAUAGUACAUAAACCAACCGGUCAAUCUUUUGAUCGAACAAGGCUUCAAUUGAGGCAAAAGUUCCAAAUCAAAGGCAAUAACAAUAAAAUGAAUGUCCGCGGAUGUGGUAUUUUACCAAAUAGUCAUUUAUUGAUUGCCAAUUUCAAUGAAAACAAAGCAAUAAUGGAGUAUAGUGACGAUGGAACAUACAUUCGUGACAUACCAGUCUCUAACACACCGUACAAUUUGGUGAUUAUAGACAGUGAUCGUAUAGCAGUUUCAUAUGGUGGAAAUCAUGAUAUGGAAAUAUUGAACAUUAACAACAAAAUGGUUCUCGCGAAAGUAACUUUUGAAUGGGAUUGUUAUGGAAUUUCGUAUCAGAAUGGAAACAUUUAUAUAGGAGCAGGUAAUGAGGGUAUUGUGGAGAUGGAUAUGACAGGGAAACGAUUACGUACAAUAGGUGGAAAAUAUGCUGAAGAAGGUAUUCUGCAUAUCGCUACAACAAACGACAGAAUAUAUUGUACAGACUUCGCGAAAUCUGCAAUAUACUGUUGUAGUAUGACAGGUGAAGAUAUCUGGACAUUCACUGACCAAUCUCUUGAUGAUGCAAGGGGAAUAUCAGCUGAUGGCGACGAGAACGUGUUUGUUGCAGGUCAAGAUUCUAACAACCUUAUGAUGAUACAACAUGAUGGGAAAGUCAGUAAAAUACUACUUUCUGAAUCCGACGGUCUUUACUAUCCGGUCCCAGUGCAUUACAAUAGAGACAAGAAAUUACUGUUGGUGUGUAAUGUAAACGGAGAUGCCUUUCUAUAUAGUGUUAUAUAGUCAGAGUCAGAACAAUCAUACAAAGACUGAAAAUGCGCCCUUUACAAAUUGUUUCUCGUUUUAAAGAAAAAUCUAUAUUAACUUAUAUUGGAUUUAU
rnacentral:lncRNA from 1 species